UCCAGACUCCUACGGGAGGCAGCAGUGGGGGAUAUUGCACAAUGGGGGGAACCCUGAUGCAGCGACGCCGCGUGAGGGAAGACGGUUUUCGGAUUGUAAACCUCUGUCUUUAGGGACGAAACAAAUGACGGUACCUAAAGAGGAAGCCACGGCUAACUACGUGCCAGCAGCCGCGGUAAUACGUAGGUGGCAAGCGUUGUCCGGAAUUACUGGGUGUAAAGGGAGCGUAGGCGGGAAUGCAAGUUGAAUGUUUAAACUAUGGGCUCAACCCAUAGUCGCGUUCAAAACUGCAUUUCUUGAGUGGAGUAGAGGCAGGCGGAAUUCCUAGUGUAGCGGUGAAAUGCGUAGAUAUUAGGAGGAACACCAGUGGCGAAGGCGGCUUACUGGACUGUAACUGACGUUGAGGCUCGAAAGCGUGGGGAGCAAACAGGAUUAGAUACCCUCGUA
rnacentral:rRNA from 1 species